CAGGCAUGCUCCUGGUCUAGAUAAGUGCUCAGCUCAAGUACUGCACCAGGAGGCUGCAAAGCCUGAAGAACCUGCACCCAGAAGCAGCAUGGUCCAGGGCUUCUAUAACAGUGAAGAAAGCUGAUGCUGGCACAGUAAGGCUGUUUGCAUACAUGGAUACACUCAUGAAUAAAAGAAAAUUGUGGAUCACCUAGCCACUAUUUUGAUUGAGACAUUCUGAGGAAUUAAUAGUGCAAUUCUACAAGGCAGUGGGAGAAAGCCAGAACCUGGAAGCAACCUAGAUGCCUCUCAACUGAAGAAUGGAUAGAGAAAAUGUGGUACAUUUAUACAAUGGAGUACUACUCAGCAGAAAAAAAGCAAUGUAAACUUGAAAUUCAAAGGCAAAUGGAUGAAACUAGAAGAAACCAUCCUGAGUGAGGUAACCCAGUCACAAAUACAAACAUGAGCACUCAUCCAGUGGCUGGUGGAAGCAGAGGUAGACACCCACAGAUACACACUGAACUGAACUCUGGAACCCAGUUGCAGAGAGGGAGGAAUGAAGAUCAAAGGGGUUGGUACCAGGCUGGUGAAACCCACAGAAACAGCUGGCCUGAACAAAGGGGACCCCAGACUGCUGUCUGGGAGGCCAGCACAGGACUGAUGCAGACCCCUGAACAUGGAUGUCCAUCAGGAGGCCUUCCGAAAUCUAUGGGGCCCUGGGUAGAGGAUCAGUAUUUUCCCCUGGUGUAAGACUUUGAGAGCCCAUCCCAAAUGAAGGGAUGCUCUCUGGGCCUGGACACAUGGGGGAGGGUCUAGGCCCGGCCCAGGAUGAUGUGGUGGACUUUGGGGAUCCCCUGUCGAGGGCCCUACCCUGAGUGGGGUGUGGUGG
ensembl:lncRNA